rnacentral:tRNA from 1 species
AAAAUCCGUCGACUUUAUAAAUCCGUG